AUUUAAAAGUUUUAGCCGAAGAAGUUGGACGUGUUGGUCCUUUGGGCAGCAAAGCCAAAAAGGACAAUUUAUCGCGCUAUCAAAAAAUCGAUGUGAAGUUUCUUUAAUUAUAUGCAUAUAAUAAAAAGAUUUUAAACUUUUGUUCCCCGGUAGAGAGGACGCAUUGUCCAGUAAAUGGGACGAGGACAAAAUAUACAUUGCUCGACUCCCAAGAAAGUUUAGUCCUCCGCGUUAUCUCUAUCGUAGACUAUCAGCAAAGAAUGGCUGAUAUAAUAAGUAAAAACUAUUCAAAUUUGGAAACGGUUCAACCUCUUGUGGCCGUAGAAGGCCAAAGUGCAAUUUCUGUAAAAUCUUUCUUUCCUAAAAAGUUAAGUUUUUAAUGACGUAAAUGCUAAAAAAUAUUUUGUAUACAGAAAUCUGUAAAAUAAAUAUAAGUGUAACUGUAUUAUAUGUAUCCGUUAUAACCG